rnacentral:rRNA from 1 species
GUAACGGCGAGUGAAGCGGCAACAGCUCAAAUUUGAAAUCUGGCCUCCUCGGGGUCCGAGUUGUAAUUUGUAGAGGGUGUUUCGGGCGCGAUGCCGGUCUAAGUUCCUUGGAACAGGACGUCGUAGAGGGUGAGAAUCCCGUAUGCGACCGGCGAUCAAGCCUGUGUGAAGCCCCUUCGACGAGUCGAGUUGUUUGGGAAUGCAGCUCAAAAUGGGUGGUAAAUUUCAUCUAAAGCUAAAUACUGGCCAGAGACCGAUAGCGGACAAGUAGAGUGAUCGAAAGAUGAAAAGCACUUUGGAAAGAGAGUCAAACAGUACGUGAAAUUGUUGAAAGGGAAGCGCUUGCAAUCAGACCGGUCCGGAGGUGAUCAGCCGCUGCUCGUCAGCGGUGCACUCGCCUGCGAUCCGGCCAGCAUCGGUUCGGGCGGUGGGAUAAAAGUCCCGGGAAUGUAGCUUCCUUCGGGGAGUCUUAUAGCCCGGGUCGCAAUGCCGCCCGCCCGGACCGAGGACCGCGCUU